AUGAGGGAGACCCAAAAUUUGUUAUAUUUUAAUUAUUUAUUUAAUUUUUUUUUUUUUUGGAAAAAAUGAAAGGGUAAAUUUUGGGGUAUUACACUAAAUAUAUAUUUCUCUUUUCUCUUUAUCACUUGAGGUUUUAAGACAUACUUCUACGGUUGGAUUGACCAAGACUUUAGGUGCAUAUUUGAUUGUGAAGAGAAAAUAAGAAGAGAGAAAGAGGUUGAAAAUAGUGAGAGAAAAGUGAAGGAAG
rnacentral:lncRNA from 1 species